CCUAUCGGAAGGCAGCAGUGAGGAAUAUUGGUCAAUGGACGCAAGUCUGAACCAGCCAUGCCGCGUGCAGGAAGACGUCUCUAUGAGUUGUAAACUGCUUUUUUACGAGGGUAAUUCCCGAUACUUGUAUCGGGUUGACAGUAUCGUACGAAUAAGGAUCGGCUAACUCCGUGCCAGCAGCCGCGGUAAUACGGAGGAUUCAAGAGUUCUCCGGAUUUAUUGGGUUUAAAGGGUGCGUAGGCGGUUCGAUAAGUUAGAGGUGAAAGCCCGGGGCUCAACUCCGGCACUGCCUCUGAUACUGUCGGGCUAGAGUUUAGGUGAGGUAGGCGGAAUGUAUGGGGUAGCGGUGAAAUGCAUAGAGAUCAUACAGAACACCGAUUGCGAAGGCAGCUUACCAAACUACGACUGACGUUGAGGCAAGAAAGCGUGGGGAGCAAACAGGAGUAGAUACCCUGGUAGUC
rnacentral:rRNA from 1 species